GCGAGGGGCCUCACCCGCUACGUCGUCCCGGCCGGGGCGUUGCUCGCGCUGAGCUUUGUCAUAUGGAAGGUGGUUCAGCAUUUCGUUCCCGGGAAGAGGAAGGACCGGGUUCCUGGAGAACCUGAGUCUUCUGGGGCCAUGUGGUCCUUCGCUGCCGGUUCCAAUUUGUCAACAUCUACAAGCUUUAAAGCUGAAAAGGAGUCCAAGAAAAACCUAAACAAGUUCUACAAGGAACUGCGGACGCUCAAAACCGUUAACAUGGCAGGCCGUCAAUUCGGCGACGAGGGUUUGUUCUUUCUGGCAGAAAGCUUAGCCUAUAACAAGAGUGCAGAAGAGGUGGACUUUUCUGGUAAUGCGAUAACAGCCGUGGGAAUAGAAGCCUUCGAUGGCAUUCUCCAGAUAAACACAGCUUUAAAGUCUCUCAAUUUAUCUGGAAAUGAUAUCGGAGAUGAAGGAGCUAAGUGUCUUUCAGGUAUAUUGGUAGAAAACGUAGGUAUUCAGAAGCUCCUGCUGAACAGUACCAAUAUCGGAGAUGAGGGAGCAAAAGCGAUUUCGGAUAUGCUGAAAAAGAACAAAACAAUACGUUUUGUACAGCUCAGCAAUAAUACAAUCGAAUACAGUGGUUUUGCAAGUAUUGCAGAUGCACUUCUUGAGAAUAAUACGCUACGGAGCUUGUAUCUCAAUGGCAACUAUGGUGGUCCUCUCGGUGCAUCCAGCCUAGCAAAAGGAGUUUUAGGGAACAAAUCUCUCAGGGAACUUCACUUACAUGGUAAUGGGUUUGGGAACGAAGGAUUACGGGUGUUGAUGUCUGCAUUAUCUGCUCACAAAGGCAAGAUAACAGCCUUGGAUAUUGGCAACAACAACAUUACAUCAGAGGGUUCUCAUUAUGUUGCCGAGUUCAUCAAAAUGACGAAGUCUCUACGGUGGCUCAGUCUUUACAUGGAUGACGUUGGUGAUGAGGGUGCUGAAAAGGUGGCAGAUGCUCUGAAACAGAACAAAACAAUUUCUACUAUGGACUUUGGUGGUAAUAACAUUCACUCUAGAGGGGUAACUGCAAUAGCUGAAACUUUGAAGGAGAAUGCAGUGUUGACAACACUGGAGUUGAGUUAUAAUCCAAUUGGACCAGAGGGGGUAAAGGCUUUGUGCGAUGUUAUCAAGUUCAAUGGCAAAAUCCAAACCCUUAAGCUUGGUUGGUGCCAGAUAGGUGUGUCAGGUGCAGAAUCCAUUGCUGAUUGUUUGAAGUAUAACACAACAUUGUCGACAUUGGAUUUGCGGGCAAAUGGACUUGGAGAUGAUGGUGCUAUCUGCUUGGCGCGAAGUUUGAAGAUAAUCAAUGAAUGUUUGAAAUCACUUGACCUGUGUUUUAAUGAGAUUAGAGAUGAUGGAGCAUUUGCAUUGGCGCAAGCACUCAAGGCUAAUGAGGAUCUUACAGUCACAUCAUUAAAUCUUUCAAACAACUUCUUCGGUAAAUUUGGACAGGUUGCUCUGACUGAAGCACGGGAUCAUGUAUACGAGAUGACUGGAAAGGAAAUAGACAUUUAUUUUUAGGUACCAUUGAUUUCUCUUCCCAUUGUGGCGAAAAGGUUUAGCUUCUCCACAGCGGCAUGCUUUGUGCACAGUUAGCCGCGUAAUAGAGGCUUUUGGGCAUUGUACUCGAGUAGAUCAAGUAAAUUGAGAGAAGAGCAUGCUUCAUGCUUGUCAUGGGAAAUUUUGGUCAUGAAUUUGGGCAAUUAGUACCGCCUUCUGCCAGCUUUUCUCCCAAUCUGGUAUCCAUUUGGUGUACAUAUACUGCUUAUUUAUUAUGGAACCAUAUGGUUGCCCCUUGUGUACCACGUCAUCUAGACGCUCAAUUAUUUUGUGAUCUUUUGAGGAUAGAAAAUGUUCCGACCUUAUGAUAGUCUACACCCAUUACCUUGAUGUUGUGCCCAUAUCACGCAUAUCGAAUCCGAUUUACUGGGUUCAUAUUCUA